rnacentral:misc_RNA from 1 species
UCUCCAAGCCAUAAAUCAAUCAAUCAA